CUACGGGAGGCACCAGUGGGGAAUUUUGGACAAUGGGCGAAAGCCUGAUCCAGCCAUUCCGCGUGAGUGAUGAAGGCCUUCGGGUUGUAAAGCUCUUUCGGCCGGGAAGAAAUCGUGCAGGCUAAUAUCCUGCAUGGAUGACGGUACCGGACCAAGAAGCACCGGCUAACUACGUGCCAGCAGCCGCGGUAAUACGUAGGGUGCGAGCGGUAAUCGGAAUUACUGGGCGUAAAGCGUGCGCAGGCGGAUGUUUAAGCCAGAUGUGAAAUCCCCGGGCUUAACCUGGGAAUGGCAUUUGGAACUGGACAUCUAGAGUGUGUCAGAGGGGGGUGGAAUUCCACGUGUAGCAGUGAAAUGCGUAGAGAUGUGGAGGAACACCGAUGGCGAAGGCAGCCCCCUGGGAUAACACUGACGCUCAUGCACGAAAGCGUGGGGAGCAAACAGGAUUAGAUACCCGCGUAGUC
rnacentral:rRNA from 1 species